ACUGCCUUGCAGAUGCUGCAGGUAUGGCUGCUGUAUCACUCAUGCGUCGGCAGGUGGCAGAGGGUGGAGAUGCUGUGCCUACUCUCAGUCUGCUCACCUGUGAACAUCUGAAUGAUUAGCAGUUUAACACU
ensembl:snoRNA